CACGAGACCUCUUGUUUCCUGGCUCCUUAAUGCAUCUGGAAGACCUACUCUUGUGAGCACAGUGAGGGGGCACACUGCCCCAUCACCUGCCACUGGGACUGGGCCACACAUUCACAGGUAAGCCACGGAGGGUAAGCCACGGAACAGGAGCGAGCGCCGUUCAGUCCUGCAGACUUGGCCCUCUGCAUGGGCUCUAGAUGGCCCGUCAACGUUUACUUUUAAGUUGUUAACAUUUGCGUGGACAUCACGGCAAUCUUACAUUUGGGAAGACGCACAUCGUGACAUUUCCUCUCUCUACCAGAAAUAGCCAUGUCUUGUUCAUUUGUACCCUCUCACGUGUCCCGCGGGAGAGCUGUCGCAAGUGUUUCCGUGUGUGGGGGGGGGCCCCAGACACCCAUGCGCAUGGCCUCCGUGAGCCUUCCCCUGCGUCGCCGCGGCUGCAGGCUCCCAUCCCUUCCCGAGGCGUCUCAGGCCCCAAGUCAGGGGCAGGUGUUUGCAGCUUCGCCAAACAGGAAGAAACUUCUCCUGGUUUCCGAGUUUUCAUUGGGAGGGAGCAGGCUUACAUGGCCUCAGUGGAUUCCUCGGCAUGCGUGAAAGCGACCACAGGCAGAGUUUGUCUAUCUGCCCAGGGCCCCUCCCUCUGCCCAGGAGGCACACGCACAGCAGACUGGCCUCCCUGGCCUCUCCCGGCCUCCCUCACUGUUGCCCCACGAGGGAUGUGGCAACCAAUUUAUGGACCAAUUUGGGAAUCUCUAAAUAGAGAGAACAAAGGAGAGGGGGAGAAGAGAGAGAGA